AUCCAGCUGACGAGUCCCAAAUAGGACGAAACGCGCGUCCAACUGGUU
rnacentral:hammerhead_ribozyme from 1 species